CGGCCGCCAUGGCGGCCGCGGGAAUUCGAUUCGGCCGCCAUGGCGGCCGCGGGAAUUCGAUUGUGAACUCAAUGGACUGACCAAUUCCUUUUUGGGUUUUGGGUGGGAAGUUGCGUAAAUAGAGCCCUCUAAAGGAUGCAAAAGUCGUAACACGGUUUCCGUAGGUGAACCUGCGGAAGGAUCAUUC
rnacentral:rRNA from 1 species